CGGCAAAGUAUUUUUUUAUUGAAAUAAACAGGACUAACAGUCCAAUUGCAGUGGCCAGAGAUGUUCGAAAGCCUUGGCAAAAUCAUCACUUGCGUUUUUUAUAGUCUGAUAAUAGUUCACGUAUGCCAUGUUCUAGUAGCCUGACAAUCUUCUCUGAAUAAAAAACAAAAUCCUUUGCCAUUCGGAGCGCAAAAUCCUUGCCGUUCCCAGCACGAAUGGAACAACAAAAUCGCAUACACAAAUCACCACAUACUAGAUCAUACAGAUAGGAAAUAUGACAAUCAUCUAUGGAGAAUUUGCCUUAAAACCUAUGGAGCACUACUAGAACCGGAUUGACCCCAUGGCCGACACGGCUAGCGGUGGCCGGUGCAGCACGACGCGCAAGGCGGCAGAGGGUGGGGUCGGGGCCGGCGGGGGCGAUGUCGUCGGGGCCGGGGCCAGCUAGGGCCAUGCGGUCGGGGUCGGGGCAGGGACCGGCGGCGGCGAUGGGGUCGGGGCCGACGAGGCGUGCAAGGAGACGGGGCCGGCGAGGCGCGCGAGGAGACGGGGCCGGCGAGGUGCGGCUGGCCUAGUCUCCAAGGCGACGGGGAUGGGACCGACGCCGGGGAGGUGUGGCUGGCCUGGUCGCCGGCUUCCUCCAGCGAGCUCCGACCGAGCAGCAAGCCAGCCAGCCAGGGUGCGGGCGCGGAGGAGAGGAGCUUGGGAACGGGGCGCCAUGGGUGGAUCCGAUGACGUGGUGGCCGGCGAGGUCGGGGCAAGGGCACCGGCUAGAUGUGGAUCGGAUCGGGAGUAAAGAGAGAUAAGAGAGAGAGAUUGCGGGGGUGAGAGAUAGAGGGGAUCGUGAGAAGAGAGAGAGG
rnacentral:rRNA from 1 species